rnacentral:lncRNA from 1 species
UGGUGGCUCCAGCUCCGAUUCGACCCCUAUCCUGGGAACCUCCAUAUGCCACGGGAGCGGCCCAAGAAAUAGCAAAAAGACCAAAAAAAACAAAAAAAAAAGUUUAAAUUAAUGUACCAAAAUGACUCAGUCCUAGGAUACUGAUCUUAUCAUAUUGGAAGAGAUUCUAAAAUCUUUAUUAACCAUUAACCUGACUUCCAAGGAAGCAGUCUGUAUCUUUCAUAUUCAGAAUUCCUAUUAGGAAACUCGGGCACUCAGAAGAAGAGGCAAGAAAGAACAAAGAGGAUCAACCUGCACAAAACCUUCAAAGCCUUCGACAUUACCUGAAGGCCUGUGGAACGAACGCUGCUUUGGGGAAAAUUCAAUCCAAUUCAGCAUUCUGACAAGGUAGAAAAGAAUGAAGGGAGACAUGACCUGCCUUCCAGGAGUCUCAUGAGAAAGAUGGCACAGAUGCAGAUAAAAACAAGAUGAAUACACACACAGGUAAAUAUUUACCAGUGGUAUAAAAGCAUGGAUUGUGGAAAUUGAAUGACCUCAGUUUGCAGC